UCUGCUCUCCCUUUGGCUCAGAUGCUCAGAAGGCUGCUCGGAAUGAAGCAAGAUAGUGCGUCUUUAGCUCGCGCUCACAAUCCAAGUGACGCUUGUCCGGUGUGCGUGUGAGUAAUUAUGCUGCCUCGCCAGCAAGGAUAUCCAACGUCAUCGAUAAUUGUCAACACCGCCGCCGUCGCACCGUCAAAACACGAAUUUAUUUCAUCCUCGGACGGCGAGGCGGCCGUCAUCGCAGAGGUUCCGGUUCCAGUCUACCUCACCGUUUGUGACGUCACGGACUGACAGGGGUGACGGUGACGGACUGGUGUUAACCGCGCCUCAGACGCCUUGCUUACUGUGACGUCCUGCGCCGCGCUGACCCACUGGCGUCAUGAAGACCUGAUGGAGCCUGAGUGUCCGCAUCUUCAUAGCCUCGAAUAUUGAGUUUUAUGGUCACUUUAUUAUAUUUUAUUGCUAGCAAACAAGAAAAUGGCCUAGGAUGAAGUGCUUUCAUACACUUGGAAAUUCUCUCACGGAAAUGGCUGACACAGUUAAAAUACUUACACCCGCAGACUGUAGUCAUAGUGAUUUAAAAAAAAAAAAGAACUCAUGUAUUGUAAUUUAGCAAUAUAUGCCAUUUCUGUAAUUCCGAGAAAUAUCAACAAUCGCGACCAGUGUGACAUGGAAUGAUUGCAUUUUAUGUGAAAUCAGUAAAUAUAUCUAAUUCGUAA